rnacentral:lncRNA from 1 species
CACCCCGUUUUUCCGCGUAGGUUAGUUUUUGUCCCUUUUUAUUUCUUUUCUUUGGGUUUGUUAAAUUAGUUGAUUGAAAUUGGAGAGUAAAUUGGUUCUAUAAUGCUUGGUUGUUGAUCAUAGUAAGGUGGGUAACUGUAAUUCUCACAACUUAAUUCUAAUUGGAGGGUUUUCGGCUACAAAUUGAAACAUCACAAACUAAGAAAAACUAUGCACAUAAUUUGUUUGAUAAAUUGCCUGACCGAACUUUUUGAAAGGUCGUGCAAAGUCUAAGUAACAAACAUACUUCUAUGGAUAUAUGAACGUCUUUUAAGUGUAGGGUGGCCGUUUAGGGGUCUUUGCACUUAAAUUGCAUUCGUUCCGAAUGAAUGUCAACCCGUAGUUGACUUAGGCACGAGUCAUGUGCGGCUCGUGUGCAACUUUUACUCACUUGGUUUCCGAUUGUGCUAGUUAGUUUUGCAUGAAUGCAAGUGAAUCUAGUAGUCGCUUGUGACUCAUCUUGCACACGUAUGCUUAAGUAUUAAGUGUGGUGCACGAUUGAUAAGUGAAGAUUUUAACUACUUAUUAGCGGCUUUUAGCUUUUGUUUUAGUCCAAAAGCAUUUAAUUGCGUUCCCAAAAAUUAAUGAAAUGUGCUUAAUUGCAUGAAUAAUGGAAGAUGAACUCCCGACAUGAAAUCCAACUCAAGAAGGAGUAAUCUGAACUCAAGGACAUAAAAAGCACAAAAGCUCAGAAGUGUGGACCGCAGAAUAUCAUCUGCUGCAGCAGGUUAUGAAGUAAAAGCCAUCAGAGUUUGGUGCAAAGUGCGGUCCGCACAUGAAUUGUGCGACCGCAAAAGCUAAGCCAAAGCAAAGUUCAGAGAAGGUGCAUUCCAAGUCCCCCAGAAGUGCGGACCGCACAAUAAUUGUGUCGGCCGCAGAAGAAGAGCUAUGCGACCGCAGAUAUAAAAGUGCGGACCGCAGAAGAGCAAGGUGCGGCCGAACAUGAAAAAUACGGACCGCAGAAAGAGUGCAUUGCGGCCGCAUAUCAGAAUUAUACGGCCACAGACUUCCGAUCCUGACAAAUUAAAGAAAAGUGCGGACCACACAUGUGCGGCCGCAGAACCUCUCGAAGGGCAUUUUUGUCCGAAAUUUUUAGCUCUGUAUAAAUAGACGAGUUUCACAUUUUUAGGUCAACUUUUGACAUCAGCUGCUAUAGUAGUCGUUUCCUUUUACUCUUUUUAGUAGUUUUUCACAUUUUAAGCUAUUUUAACCUAGAUUUUAUCAUAUUAAUCUUACAAUAUGAAUUUAAUUAUCAUUUCUUCUUCUAUUUCUUCU